rnacentral:rRNA from 1 species
ACUCAAAUGAAUAGACGGGGGCCCGCACAAGCAGUGGAGUAUGUGGUUUAAUUCGAAGCAACGCGAAGAACCUUACCAGGUCUUGACAUCCCGCUAACGAAGUAGAGAUACAUUAGGUGCCUUUCGGGGAAAGCGGAGACAGGUGGUGCAUGGUUGUCGUCAGCUCGUGUCGUGAGAUGUUGGGUUAAGUCCCGCAACGAGCGCAACCCUUGCCAUUAGUUGCUACAUUCAGUUGAGCACUUUAAUGGGACUGCCGUUGACAAAACGGAGGAAGGUGGGGAUGAUGUCAAAUCAUCAUGCCCCUUAUGACCUGGGCUACACACGUACUACAAUGGCCGUUAACAACGGGAAGCGAAGCCGCGAGGCGGAGCAAAUCCCCAAAAACGGUCUCAGUUCGGAUUGCAGGCUGCAACCCGCCUGUAUGAAGUUGGAAUUGCUAGUAAUCGCGGAUCAGCAUGCCGCGGUGAAUACGUUCCCGGGCCUUGUACACACCGCCCGU